GGAAGCCACAGCAUCUGCAACUGUAAGGAAGAUCUUGUCCUCUCCGAUUGUAUUUGCAAAAUUGGACUCGUGGAGCUUGUUAAUCACCACCGGACCAGGAUUUGACAGAAUAAGCUGCAUAACACACACAGGAAAAUUACUGGAUCAUUUAGAAAGAAGAAAAUUCUGAUUCCAAACAUGCAGAAAAAUAUGAAGCAAGCCUGGUAUACAACCAUGUUACAGGUUGCCUUUUUCUAGCUUUUCUUUGUUCUGUUCAUGUUUUAUUAAUGUAUCAAGACAACCUACAAAACUAGAAAUUCUAAAACUUAAGAACA